rnacentral:rRNA from 1 species
CCUACGGGUGGCAGCAGUGGGGAAUAUUGGACAAUGGGCGAAAGCCUGAUCCAGCCAUGCCGCGUGUGUGAAGAAGGCCUUCGGGUUGUAAAGCACUUUCAGUGGGGAAGAAAGCCUUGGGGCUAAUACCCUCGAGGAAGGACAUCACCCACAGAAGAAGCACCGGCUAACUCCGUGCCAGCAGCCGCGGUAAUACGGAGGGUGCGAGCGUUAAUCGGAAUUACUGGGCGUAAAGCGCGCGUAGGCGGUCUGAUAAGCCGGUUGUGAAAGCCCCGGGCUCAACCUGGGAACGGCAUCCGGAACUGUCAGGCUAGAGUGCAGGAGAGGAAGGUAGAAUUCCCGGUGUAGCGGUGAAAUGCGUAGAGAUCGGGAGGAAUAUCAGUGGCGAAGGCGGCCUUCUGGACUGACACUGACGCUGAGGUGCGAAAGCGUGGGUAGCAAACAGGAUUAGAUACCCCGGUAGUC